rnacentral:piRNA from 1 species
GAGAAGAACGGCUGCCCCUGUGGGUGCGGG